rnacentral:rRNA from 1 species
GACGAACGCUGGCGGCGUGCUUAACACAUGCAAGUCGAACGAAAAGAGGGAAAGAGCCUGCUCUUUCCGGAAUUGAGUGGCAAACGGGUGAGUAACACGUAAACAACCUGCCUUCAGGAUGGGGACAACAGACGGAAACGACUGCUAAUACCGAAUAAGUUCCAAGAGCCGCAUGGCCCAUGGAAGAAAAGGUGGCCUCUACCUGUAAGCUAUCGCCUGAAGAGGGGUUUGCGUCUGAUUAGCUGGUUGGAGGGGUAACGGCCCACCAAGGCGACGAUCAGUAGCCGGUCUGAGAGGAUGAACGGCCACACUGGAACUGAGACACGGUCCAGACUCCUACGGGAGGCAGCAGUGGGGAAUCUUCCGCAAUGGGCGAAAGCCUGACGGAGCAACGCCGCGUGAGUGAUGACGGCCUUCGGGUUGUAAAACUCUGUGAUCCGGGACGAAAAGGCAGAGUGCGAAGAACAAACUGCAUUGACGGUACCGGAAAAGCAAGCCACGGCUAACUACGUG